UGGCAGUCUGGCCUGCCAUGUCCCUGCCCCAUCAGGGCACUCAGUCCUUCCUGAGGCCACCCCCUAUUUCCUGUCUGUGGUGGGAGGACAAGAGCCCAGCCUCCCUGCUGGGUCAGAGGUCAAAAGCAGGGUCCUCAUCUAGCCACACAUGCAACGAUGAAGGGAUCAGCCAGGAAGUGACUGUGCAGAGUCCUGGACAGAGCCAGCCUCCACAGCAUCCAGUUGUCCCUCAGCCCAUGCCUGUGUCUCCUGGCAACGGAGAUGGGGGCAGGCGUCCUCCACAAGCAGAAGACGAGCCGGGUGUGAGCAGCACCAGGAACACCCAGGGGGCACCAGGGGGAAUUUAGGCGAGAUGCUCACGCUCAGGAAGACGUCUGGCCCGCGAUGCUCACGGCAGCCCUGGGAAGGGGGGCCGGGAUGUGCCCGGCAACAGCCCCUCCAUGGGACGACGCUGUGACAGCACCAGCAGAGCCCCUGUGAGGACAUGUGACAUCCCCAUUACUGUCGGGCGGUGUCCUGGCACCUCUCCUUGGGGAGAGAGCUGGGGCCUGCUUUUCUCCGACUGGUUCUUUGUACUUUGGAAUUUCCUACGUCCUGUGUUACUUGUCAUAAAAACUGACAUUAUUUUUAAAAUGCCGACUAUUAGCCUUAAAAAGGGAGGAUCUGUAACAUGGAAGGAACUUGAGGACGUGAUGCUGAGUGACAGAAGCCACAGAAAGACACACACUACCGACUCCACUCCUGUGAGGUCCCUGGGGUCUUCAAGUUCAGACAGAAAGUAGAGGGGCGGGGCGGGACCGGGCUGAGGCUUCCCUGGGGACAGUUUUAUAGGAUAGGAGCACUCUGGAGAUGGUGGUGACAGCGCAGGACACUGUGAUUGUGCUCAGGGCCCUAAUGGCACACUGAAAAAUGGUCUCAAUGGUAAAUUUACAUUAUAUUAAUUCAUUUAUAUUGUACAUAUUUGUAUUUUAUACAUAUUUUUUAAAAAUAUUUUUUUAAACAGAAAAUUUGGCAAAGAGACCCAGGUCUUGUCUAGAUUUCUUCAUCUUCCAGUUCUUCGGGACCCCGGGAAGGCCCAGGGACUGUCCCCGAGCACCUCCUCUGCUGCCUCACUGGAGGUGGAUGAGUUAGGUGGGCACCCACAGGCCUGCCACCCCCUCCUCUGUCCCUAGUGGGCGUCGCCCUGUGGACGAGCACAUUAA